UGCAUUUGUGUGAAGCACCUGACUUUAAUAAAAGUCAGGACUGCUGUCCCCACGUGACUUUUGUAUAACAUCUUAGUGUAUAAAAACAGACUCUGGAAAAUAAAGAAUUGGGAUCAGUUUCUCGAAAUACUGGUCUCCCCAUGUCGCUCUCUCUCUCACUCUGGCUGAGUCUCCAUCUGGAGCGCGGAACCCACCAUGCUUACUAAUUAUGCCUGGGCUUCUAAGAUCCGACCGGGGAGGCCUCAGUGUCUCCUCUCCUUCGGGAGAACGGAAGGACGCCUGCGGCCUACUUACUUCUUCCAUCCAUCUAGACCAUUGAUUCUCAACCAGGAGUGGUUUUGCCUCCCAAGGGACAGUCAGCACUAUCUGAAGAGAUUUUUGGUUGUCACAACUUGGUGGAUGGUACUGUCAUCUAGAGGAUAGAAGCCAGGAAUGCUGCUCGACAUUCUACAACACACAGGACAGGCCCUCUGAAGCAAAGAAUUAUUCAGCCCAAAGUGUCCAAAAUGCCAACGUUGGAAAAACUUUGAUCCAGAUCACCUUACAUAUAUGCAUUUUAAAAGCUUCAUCAGCCUCUUUCAUCUAGAGAGAAUUCAUGGGUUUUAAAAAUUUUAUUUAUUUAUUUAUUGUUGGCUGUGCUGGGUCUUUGUUGCUGUGCAGACUUUUCUCUAGUUGUGGCGAGUGAGGGUUACUCUCUAGUUGCUGUUGGGGCUUCUCACCAAGGUCCUUCUCCUGCUGGGGAGCACGGGCUUGAGGACACACGGGCUCGAGGACACAUGGGCUCGAGGACAUACGGGCUUCAACAGCGGGGGCACAUGGGCUCAGUAGCUGCAUCUCCCAGGCUCUAGAGGACAGGCUCAGCAGUUGUUGCGCAUGGGCUUAGUUGCUCUGAGCUAUGUGGAAUCUUCCUGGAUCAGGGAUUAAACCAUGUCUCCUGCACUGACAGGCAGAUUCUUUACCACUGAGCUACUAGGGAAACCCAAGAAUUCAUGUUUUGAUGUUUUAUUUUGUUGGCUUUGUUAGCAUCAGAUUUCUUGAUUGUUUUUGGUUUGCAAGCUCAUUUUCAGUGAAAGGUUCUUUUUCUCUGGGGCUUCCCUGGUAGCUCAGCUGGUACCUGAAAUGCAGGAGACCCCCUUCGGAUUAGUGGGUGAGGAAGUUCCCCCAGAGAAGGGAUAGGCUACCUACUCCAGUAUUCAUGGGCUUCCCUGGUGGCUCAGACGGUAAAGAGUCUGCCUGCAAUUUGGGAGACCUGGGUCCAAUCUGGCUCUACCUCCUGAUUAUUAAUUUUGAGGGUAGGCCUACCAGGAUUGACCCCAGUUCAGGACUCCUGUCCCCUGGUGAUUUGGGGAGAGCCCAGAACAAGCUCAAUUUCUACUUCCUUCUGCUUCCCUAGCCCUGAUGCUCCUCUGAAGCCAAGGACCUGGGUGGUGAGCAGCAACAACUUUGGGUGUGCACCAGGGACCCUGACCCCAGGCCUUGCAACAGUGAACUUGCUCUGGUUUUCCACGUUACCUGGAGCAAAACUGGCCUAUAACUUCAGUAUCCCACUUACCUUUUAAACUUUCUUUGACUUUGGUUCUUACAUUUUCUAACUGCUAUGCAUUUGGGACAAAGAGUUAUCUGGGCUGGAUGGCCACUGCAUAGUCAUUUUGCUGUGAUUUUAAAAAGAUAUUUGUUGUUCAGGAAAAAAAAGUAUUUAAAUGUACGUCUUCGAGACCACAAAAACCAUCUACAGAGCCUAACUCACUUCCUCUUAGAAAUUCCACAAAACAACUUUUUUAAAAGCACACUGGAAGGCAGACAAGACACAACAGAAACGGUUAAAACAAUACAUGAAUGGGUACAAAGUAUUCACAACCCACAAAGCAGUUAGGUAAUCGGCAAAAACAAUACAUUUUCAGAACGAAAGUCCUACUUGCUAGAGCAGUAAUCAGAAAAGAGGAAAUGAGCUCGUCUCUGAUCAUCUACAAGGUUUCACACGAGAAACAGAAUUCUACACUUUGACCAUGUGUUUUCUGUUUAUGAACAAGCUCUGUAAAACGAGUUGAUUUGAAUUUAAUUCCAUUCACAAAUGUUUAUUGCGGUUAGUGCUAGAGAAACGUGGCUGAGUAAAAUAAUGUCUGACUCCAGGAAUUCACAACUGGGGACGGCAGGGAGAGACAUACAAACAAAUAAUUAAGUUUUUUGAAGGGAUGAGUUAUAACUCACGGGAUCAAAACAUCAUGAUGUUAUAUCAUCAUAGCGGGUUGAGUAUAGUAUGAGGGUCUACACAUCUGGGCAUGGGUGUGGGAGCAACAGUUAAUUGUGUUGGGUGGUUGACAGGGAAAGUUGCAAUUGUGCCUGUCGUUGGAGUUUAGGUGAAGGC
ensembl:lncRNA